GUGACUGCUACCGAGGUGCAUCAUGGGGAAUUGGCGGUUAACGACAUGCUCACUUUACUUGGACGUUUUCUAAUCGUCUUCUUUGGAAUAUGCUUUCAAGGUCUGUGAAGCCAAACUUGAUGCUGGGGAUAUAUUUUUGUCAGUGGAGUCAAAUGGUUGAAGCAGAAUUUGCCCGUCUUACAUCUGUUGACCUGAAAGGGUUCCUUUUUGCUGUGCUUGACCAUUAUGGAGAGGUUCGUGGAGCUGUACAAAAUCAAGAGCGGCAUAGGAGGGCUGACUAGGCUCAUAAAAUGCUUCAAUGAUGAUAGCCCUACACAAAGGAAGAGAGAGGACCUCAUUUUCUAAAGGAAGAUCCCUCACACACUUUCAAGACUGUGAAGCCGACAGGUAUUGAAGACACGUUUUCUAAGAGGAUGAAAGUUGGCAUUGCGAUGGUGAAAGAAGAAGACAUCAUCGAUGUGUUGGUUGUCCUUGAGGCGGCAGUAAUCCUGUCUAAUCUGAG
ensembl:lncRNA